UACGUAGGGUCCGAGCGUUGUCCGGAAUUACUGGGCGUAAAGAGCUCGUAGGUGGUUUGUCGCGUUGUUCGUGAAAACUCACAGCUUAACUGUGGGCGUGCGGGCGAUACGGGCAGACUUGAGUACUGCAGGGGGAGACUGGAAUUCCUGGUGUAGCGGUGGAAUGCGCAGAUAUCAGGAGGAACACCGGUGGCGAAGGCGGGGUCUCUGGGCAGUAACUGACGCUGAGGAGCGAAAGCGUGGGGAGCAAACAGG
rnacentral:rRNA from 1 species